UACGUAGGGUGCUAGCGUUACUCGGAUUUACUGGGCGUAAAGCACACGUAGGUUGACUUGUAAGACAGAAGUGAAAUCCCCAAGCUUAACUUGGGAACUGCUUUUGUUACUGCUUGUCUGGAGUGCGGUAGAGGAUAAUGGAAUUUCUAGUGGAGGGGUAAAAUCCGUAGAUAUUAGAAGGAACACCAAAAGCGAAAGCAAUUAUCUGGGCCGUUACUGACACUGAGGUGUGAAAGCGUGGGGAGCAAACAGG
rnacentral:rRNA from 1 species